rnacentral:rRNA from 1 species
UAUGAACGCUGGCGGCAUGCCUUACACAUGCAAGUCGAACGGCAGCGGACCUUCGGGUGCCGGCGAGUGGCGAACGGGUGAGUAAUAUAUCGGAACGUACCUUCAGUGGGGAUAACGUAGGGAAACUUACGCUAAUACCGCAUACGACCUACGGGUGAAAGUGGGGGACCUUCGGGCCUCACGCGAUGAGAUGAGCCGAUGCCGGAUUAGCUAGUUGGCGGGGUAAAGGCCCACCAAGGCGACGAUCCGUAGCUGGUCUGAGAGGAUGAUCAGCCACACUGGAACUGAGACACGGUCCAGACUCCUACGGGAGGCAGCAGUGGGGAAUAUUGGACAAUGGGGGCAACCCUGAUCCAGCCAUGCCGCGUGUGUGAAGAAGGCCUUCGGGUUGUAAAGCACUUUUGUUGGGGAAGAAACCGGCCGGGUUAAUACCCUGGUUGAAUGACGGUACCCAAAGAAUAAGCACCGGCUAACUUCGUG